GUGGGGAAUAUUGGGCAAUGGGGGGAACCCUGACCCAGCGACGCCGCGUGGGUGAAGAAAUCCCUCGGGAUGUAAAGCCCUGUUGUAUGGGAAGAGCAGAAGACGGUACCAUACGAGGAAGCCCCGGCAAACUACGUGCCAGCAGCCGCGGUAAUACGUAGGGGGCAAGCUUUGUCCGGAAUUACUGGGCGUAAAGCGCACGCAGGCUGAAUUAUAAGUCGGUAGUCAAAUACGGAGGCUCAACUUCCGGAUAUCUAUGGAUACUGUAAAUCUAGAGUAUGUGAGAGGGAAGCGGAAUUCCCGGUGUAGCGGUGAAAUGCGUAGAUAUUGGGAGGAACACCAGUGGCGAAGGCGGCUUCCUGGCACAAUACUGACGCUCAUGUGCGAAAGCUAGGGCAGCGAACGGGAUUAGAUACCCUUGUAGUCC
rnacentral:rRNA from 1 species